rnacentral:rRNA from 1 species
UAAUACGUAGGGGGCGAGCGUUGUCCGGAUUUACUGGGCGUAAAGAGCGCGUAGGCGGAAAUUUAAGCGUGGCCUGAAAGCCCCCGGCUCAACCGGGGAGUGCGGCUGCGAACUGGGUUUCUUGAGGACGAUAGAGGAGAGUGGAAUUCCUGGUGUAGCGGUGAAAUGCGUAGAUAUCAGGAGGAACACCCGAGGCGAAGGCGGCUCUCUGGGUCGUACCUGACGCUGAGGCGCGAAAGCGUGGGGAGCGAACGGGAUUAGAUACCCCGGUAGUCCACGCCGUAAACGAUGGUCACUAGGUGUGUGUGGUAUCGACCCCGCACGUGCCGCAGCUAACGCAAUAAGUGACCCGCCUGGGGAGUACGGCCGCAAGGUUG